rnacentral:tRNA from 1 species
GGCGGUUGCGGGAUGCGGGUGCUCAGGUCGCUGACGUUGAUCGCGGCGAGUUGCGCGCGCAGGAGCUGGAUCGGGUCCGGCUUCCGUCC